rnacentral:rRNA from 1 species
GACGGAGGUGCCGAGCGUUAGGCGGAAUCACUGGGCUUAAAGCGUGUGUAGGUGGAUGCCUAAGUACCUUGUGAAAUCCCACGGCUUAACCGUGGAACUGCUUGGUAUACUGGGUGUCUUGAGCCAGCUAGGGGCUACCGGAACAAAUGGUGGAGCGGUGAAAUGCGUAGAUAUCAUUUGGAACGCCAAUGGUGAAAACAGGUAGCUGGGGCUGUGCUGACACUGAGACACGAAAGCCAGGGGAGCGAACGGG